rnacentral:pre_miRNA from 1 species
AUAAUACUCCCUCCGUCUGAAAAUACUUGUCGGAGGAAUGGAUGCAUCUAGACGUAUUUUAGUUCUAGAUACAUCCAUUUUUAUGCAUUUCUCCGACAAGUAUUUUCGGACGGAGGGAGUAGGAU